GGCGUCGUCUGGACGGAUUGUUUCCAGUUCUUUCUCAUUCUGAUUGCCCCGGCUACUGUCGUUACAAAAAUCACGGUGGAUUCUUUGUCACCAAACUCGGCAAUCGAGCCACUGAGCCAUUUGGACCUUGGAAAGUAUAUAGGAGAUUACAGUUUUGACUUAAUACGCGAAGAAACAAUCUGGUCUUCCUUACUCGGUUCCACGGCGAUGGCAAUAUACCGUCUAUGCCUGGACCAAAUGGUGGCGCAGAGGAUCCUGGCGUCUCGAACACUGGAAGAAGCUCUAAGAACAACCUGUACUGGUGCGGUCCUCAUCGUUGUACUCUAUUUUUCCGCCUUUUCUCUCGGAGUGGUGAUGACCAUCUGGUUUCACGGCUCUGACCCCAGCUUAAUGGGAGC